rnacentral:rRNA from 1 species
CCAUGGGAUACUUAGUACGGCGAGUGAAGCGGUAAAAGCUCAAAUUUGAAAUCUGGUACUUUCAGUGCCCGAGUUGUAAUUUGUAGAAUUUGUCUUUGAUUAGGUCCUUGUCUAUGUUCCUUGGAACAGGACGUCAUAGAGGGUGAGAAUCCCGUUUGGCGAGGAUACCUUUUCUCUGUAAGACUUUUUCGAAGAGUCGAGUUGUUUGGGAAUGCAGCUCAAAGUGGGUGGUAAAUUCCAUCUAAAGCUAAAUAUUGGCGAGAGACCGAUAGCGAACAAGUACAGUGAUGGAAAGAUGAAAAGAACUUUGAAAAGAGAGUGAAAAAGUACGUGAAAUUGUUGAAAGGGAAGGGCAUUUGAUCAGACAUGGUGUUUUUUGCAUGCACUCGCCUCUCGUGGGCUUGGGCCUCUCAAAAAUUUCACUGGGCCAACAUCAAUUCUGGCAGUAGGAUAAAUCAUUAAGAAUGUAGCUACCUCGGUAGUGUUAUAGCUUAUUGGAAUACUGCUAGCUGGGAUUGAGGACUGCGCUUCGGCAAGGAUGUUGGCAUAAUGGUUAAAUGCCGCCCGCUGAAAAAGGGGGAAAAAAAGGGUUGUAGUCACCC